rnacentral:rRNA from 1 species
AUUGAACGCUGGCGGCAUGCUUUACACAUGCAAGUCGAACGGUAACAGGUUAAGCUGACGAGUGGCGAACGGGUGAGUAAUGCAUCGGAACGUGCCCGGUCGUGGGGGAUAACGCAGCGAAAGCUGCGCUAAUACCGCAUACGAUCUGAGGAUGAAAGCGGGGGACCGUAAGGCCUCGCGCGAUCGGAGCGGACGAUGUCAGAUUAGGUAGUUGGUGAGGUAAAGGCUCACCAAGCCAACGACCUGUAGCUGGUCUGAGAGGACGACCAGCCACACUGGGACUGAGACACGGCCCAGACUCCUACGGGAGGCAGCAGUGGGGAAUUUUGGACAAUGGGCGAAAGCCUGAUCCAGCAAUGCCGCGUGCAGGAAGAAGGCCUUCGGGUUGUAAACUGCUUUUGUACGGAACGAAAAGGUUUGGCCUAGUAAGCUGAGCUCAUGACGGUACCGUAAGAAUAAGCACCGGCUAACUACGUGCCAGCCGCCGCCGUAA